rnacentral:rRNA from 1 species
GACGAACGCUGGCGGCGUGCCUAAUACAUGCAAGUUGAGCGCUGAAGGUUGGUACUUGUACCAACUGGAUGAGCAGCGAACGGGUGAGUAACGCGUGGGGAAUCUGCCUUUGAGCGGGGGACAACAUUUGGAAACGAAUGCUAAUACCGCAUAAAAACUUUAAACACAAGUUUUAAGUUUGAAAGAUGCAAUUGCAUCACUCAAAGAUGAUCCCGCGUUGUAUUAGCUAGUUGGUGAGGUAAAGGCUCACCAAGGCGAUGAUACAUAGCCAACCUGAGAGGGUGAUCGGCCACAUUGGGACUGAGACACGGCACAAACUCCUACGGGAGGCAGCAGUACGGAAUCUUCGGCAAUGGACGAAAGUCUGACCGAGCAACGCCGCGUGAGUGAAGAAGGUUUUCGGAUCGUAAAACUCUGUUGGUAGAGAAGAACGUUGGUGAGAGUGGAAAGCUCAUCAAGUGACGGUAACUACCCAGAAAGGGACGGCUAACUACGUG